GUUGAUACUCUGCUCUCUUCCAGAUAUGCAGACGCAGCUACACCCAUGGAUACUGCUGCAAGAAAUGCACCCACACUGUGAGACCAAUCCACCUAAACCCUCUUUUUCUCCCUUCGGUAUAGAUAUUUGAAAGGCCACUGUCAGGUCUCCUCAAAGCCUUCUCUCCUCCGGGCUGAACAGCCCCAGCUCUCUCAGCCUGUCCUUGCAGGGGAGGUGUUCCACCCCUGGCAUCAUUUCGGUGGCCCUCCUCUGGACACGCUCCAAUAGAUCCAUGUCUCUCCUGUACUGAGGACUCCAGAUCUAGAUGCAGUACUCCAGCUGCCUGCUGAAUGCAUCGCCACUGCAAAGGGAGAUAAACCCUGCUGCAACAGUUUACUGAUAGCAUCAGUGUUCCAUCUAAAGCAAACGCUAAAUCACGGAAAUCAACAGUUCAUGCAGAGAUCUGUGAUCAGUGGGCUCCAGAACCCAGGCAGCACUGUGAUUUUGCAUCGGAAUACAGGAAAUCACAGCUCAACUUUCUAUAUGAGCACAACAGUGAGCAAGAUGCAAACUUGGCAAAGCACUUUUGGCGAUUUGGGGACAGAAGGGAAAUUGAUUUUCUUAUUUGUUGCAAUUAUUUGCUAUAUAUUCCCCACAAAUUGCUCUUUCCUGUGGCCCUUUUAGAGGCAGUUCUUUGUAUUUGAUAAGCACAAUCUCAGAUACGGGACACACAUCAAACAGCAUAUUUGAGAUGUCUGAUAGGAUUAUAGUCAUCCUUAAGUUCAUAUUUCCUGUGGCAGAUUCAUGAUUAUGAGUUCAAAAAAUCCAUUUGUGUGCAUGAUUUGUAACCAUUAUGUAAAAGUCAGUCUUAUUGUAAACAAUUCUGCAGUUAACUCAUUCUGCCAAAUAUUCUUACAGAGGAAGUAGAAGUGGCUGUAAUUCAGUCAAGGCAAAUCCAAAGCAUAUUUGCUGGAUUUUCACCGUAUGUCUUCAAAAUGAGCAGCUCCAUCUGGCUAUGUUUUAUUGUUUUUCAAUAGAAAAGUGCCAAUAAUAGCAUGAAGCGAUGAGAUCAGAAACUUUUUUGUUAUCUAGGAAAAGCCAUGGAUUACCUUCUAGCUGUAUAUGUUUUCAUACAGUUUCUUUGCUUGUCCACUGCAUUCUGACUGUAUUCCCAGGCAGAAAUCCUAGCCCCAGCUGAUCUAGAAGAAAUUUUAUCUUUGAUUUGAGCAGAACUAGAAUUUUAACUUCAUUGAUUCACCUGGAUUCAUACUGCUUGAACUGCCUUGAAAAAUGAAGUUUUCAUAUCCUGACUCCUAAUCAAUGGGAGUAACGCUUUCAGUAAAUGCCAGUC
ensembl:lncRNA